rnacentral:rRNA from 1 species
UACGUAGGUGGCAAGCGUUGUCCGGAUUUAUUGGGUUUAAAGGGCGCGUAGGCGGUUUCGUAAGUCAGGGGUGAAAUACGGCAGCUCAACUGUCGAGGUGCCAUUGAUACUGUGAGACUUGAGUACAGACGAGGUAGGCGGAAUUGACGGUGUAGCGGUGAAAUGCUUAGAUAUCGUCAAGAACACCGAUAGCGAAGGCAGCUUACUAGGCUGUAACUGACGCUGAGGCACGAAAGUGUGGGGAGCAAACAGG